UUAGCUCUGGGCUUUGGGUCACCAUCAAAGCAGAUGGGCCUAUAACAACACCGAAGAUGUAAAAGACAUAAUCGGAAAAUUCGACGAGUACAGGUUUCCCAUGGACGUACUGUGGUUGGACAUCGAAUAUACAGCGGAUCGCAAAUGGUUUACAUGGAGCACUACUUCUUUUCCCGAUCCCAUUGCCUUACUAGACUGGGUUGAAGAACAGGGUCAUCGAAAACUAGUUCCAAUUUCCGAAUCUAAUAUAAAAGUGUACCCAGAAUAUACAAUCUAUGACGACUGUCUGAGGAACGACUACUUCAUAAAUAAUGCCAAUGGGACGCCGGUCGUUUCAGUCUGCUGGGCGGGAGAUGUCAGUUGGAUAGACUUUUUGAAUCCGGAAGCUAGGAAAUAUUAUGCCCAGUUGCAUUUGUAUGAAAACUUCCCUUCCACGUCCACUCUAGGAGGUUAUUGGAAUGACAUGAAUGAACCGGCCCUUUUCGAUAACACUUACGAGCGUACGAUUCCUUCCUAGGCCGUGCAGUAUGGAAAUGUAAAGCACGGCGUAUGUUCACAAUAUGUAUGGGUUGCACCAAGUCAUGACCACUCACGAAGGUUUAAUGAACCGUGACGAAGGCAACUUGAGGCCCUUCUUGCUAUCUCGCUCAAUAUUCACCGGGUCUCAGCGAUAUACUGCCAAGUUGAACGGAGACACUGUUUGCACUUUUGAGUACUUGCGUAUUUUGGUACCAAUGACGAUAUCUUCAAACUUAGCCGGUUUGGUGUUUUAUGGACGUGUGUGAUGUGCAUGGAGGAGACGUGCCAGGAUUUUUCGGGAAACCUACUGACGAACUUGCAAGUCGAUGG
rnacentral:lncRNA from 1 species